AUUGAACGCUGGCGGCAGGCUUAACACAUGCAAGUCGAGCGGGGUGAUGGUGCUUGCACUAUCACUUAGCGGCGGACGGGUGAGUAAUGCUUAGGAAUCUGCCUAUUAGUGGGGGACAACAUCUCGAAAGGGAUGCUAAUACCGCAUACGUCCUACGGGAGAAAGCAGGGGAUCACUUGUGACCUUGCGCUACUAGAUGAGCGUAAGUCGGAUUAGCUAGUUGGUGGGGUAAAGGCCUACCAAGGCGACGAUCUAUAGCGGGUCUGAGAGGAUGAUCCGCCACACUGGGACUGAGACACGGCCCAGACUCCUACGGGAGGCAGCAGUGGGGAAUAUUGGACAAUGGGGGGAACCCUGAUCCAGCCAUGCCGCGUGUGUGAAGUAGGCCUUAUGGUUGUAAAGCACUUUAAGCGAGGAGGAGGCUCUUUUGGUUAAUACCCAAGAUGAGUGGACGUUACUCGCAGAAUAAGCACCGGCUAACUCUGUGCCAGCCGCCGCCGUAA
rnacentral:rRNA from 1 species